UUUUUGAGUUUCCUUAUACUUACUUAUUUUACUUUUAUUUUCCCCAUCCUCUUGGUUUUUACAACUUCUUACUUUUACCCAAAUUUAUCUGCCCAAGCUGAGCCUUGUUCACGUCCACACGCAAAGAGCUUUUCCUCUUUCCUUGUUCACGUCAGAAUUGGGCUGAGAGAAAGGAACCUUGUUCAGCUCCACCCUUCCACGUUGCCAGCAUGCAUAUGGCAACUCUUCCAAGAACAUCACCUCAGACCUUCAAAAGGGAGAACCAGGCCAGAAAUCGUCAUCCACCCUUCUCUUCUCACCUUUCCUCUCGACCCUGGACACAUCAGUCUGUUUGCGAGCCUCGAAACUCCUAGUUAGGGACCUCCGAUCAAAAAACUUUCUUCAACAAAGUUGUUCGCCUAUGUCUCCUCUAUCUAACCUCCAAAUUUCAGCUCCAUCGGAGUCGGUUUGAGUCUUGUACACCCCUCGAAGCGGAAGCUGUUCUGAAACGGGCCUGUUCCGGAUUUCUGCUUGAAUUUCCUCUCUUGCUCUAUCCGAAUCCCUCACAUCUUACUUGAGACUGGUACAAACACUUGUCUCUGUUUCACUUUGCAUGUUCGAGAUUGAGCGAACUUCUUGGCCUGUGGCUGGACUCGAUCCAAUCAGCUCCCUCAGCUCUCUUUCCUGUUGAAAUCCUCAAGAGAAGCUCACCUUUUUUAUUAGUCUUUGGAUCUUGUGAAGUGGUGGUUGCUACAAAGUUGCAUUGAGGCCAAGUGCUGCAAGAGAAAGCUCGAGUUCCAGUUUGUUUUGCAGGCUGUUGUUGUCGAAGCUUGGGUACGGAGGAUAAUCCUUGGAGGCCAAAAUUUGUUUUGUUUAAAGUUUAUUUUAUUUGGCUUGUUGAUUUCGUUAAAUUUUUGUAACGUUAUGUAUGGUUGA